GACGAACCGUGCGAACGUUGUUCGGAUUCACUGGGCUUAAAGGGCGCGUAGGCGGGCCGCCGAGUCCGGGGUGAAAGCCCGCGGCUCAACCGUGGAAGUGCCUCGGAUACCGGCGGCCUCGAGGGAGGUAGGGGCGUGCGGAACUUCCGGUGGAGCGGUGAAAUGCGUAGAUAUGUGGCGGAACACCGAUGGCGAAGGCAGGUCUCUGGGCCACUACUGACGCUGAGAAGCGAAAGCAUGGGGAGCGAACAGG
rnacentral:rRNA from 1 species